ensembl:rRNA 5S_rRNA 5S ribosomal RNA
GCUUACGGCCAUACCACUCUGAAAAAAAGCCUGAUCUCAUCUGACCUCGGAAGCAAAGCAGAGCUGGGCCUGUUUAGUACUUGGUUGGGAGACUGACAUGGAUACUAGGUGCUGUAAGCU